AAAUACCAGUUAAGUGGGAAACGAAGUGGGAAGGCUAAGACAGCUAGGAGGUUGGCUUAGAAGCAGCCAUCCUUUAAAGAAAGCGUAAUAGCUCACUAGUCGAGUCGGCCUGCGCGGAAGAUAUAACGGGGCUAAACUGGUAACCGAAGCUGUGGAUGCGUGUUUACACGCAUGGUAGAGGAGCGUUCUGUAAGCUGUUGAAGGUAGAUUGAGAAGUCUGCUGGAGGUAUCAGAAGCGCGAAUGCUGACAUGAGUAACGAUAAAGGGGGUGAAAAACCCCCUCGCCGAAAGACCAAGGUUUCCUAUCCCAUGUUAAUCAGGGUAGGGUUAGUCGGCCCCUAAGGCAAGGCAGAAAUGCGUAGUCGAUGGGAAAAAGGUUAAUAUUCCUUUACUUCUUAUUAUUGCGAUGGAGGGACGGAGUAGGCUAGAUCAGACGGGUGUUGGUUGUCCCGAUCUAAGCGUGUAGGGGGUUUUCUUAGGUAAAUCCGGGAGAACAUUACUCUGAGACGUGAUGGCGAGGCUCUCUUUUGAGCCGAGUGGUCGAUGCCAUGCUUCCAAGAAAAGCUUCUAAGCUUCAGAUAAUAAGAAACCGUACUCCAAACCGACACAGGUGGUCAGGUAGAGAAUACCAAGGCGCUUGAGACAACUCUGGUGAAGGAACUAGGCAAAAUGGCACCGUAACUUCGGGAGAAGGUGCGCUGUCAGUGGUGAUCGGACUUGCUCCGUAAGCUAUUGACAGCCGAAGUGACCAGGCCGCUGCGACUGUUUAUUAAAAACACAGCACUUUGCAAACACGUAAGUGGACGUAUAAGGUGUGACGCCUGCCCGGUGCCGGAAGGUUAAUUGAUGGGGUUAGUCUUCGGACGAAGCUCUUGAUCGAAGCCCCGGUAAACGGCGGCCGUAACUAUAACGGUCCUAAGGUAGCGAAAUUCCUUGUCGGGUAAGUUCCGACCUGCACGAAUGGCGUAACGAUGGCGGCGCUGUCUCCACCAGAGACUCAGUGAAAUUGAAUUUGCGGUCAAGAUGCCGUAUACCCGCACCUAGACGGAAAGACCCCGUGAACCUUUACUAUAGCUUGGCACUGAACUUUGAACCUGUCUGUGUAGGAUAGGUGGGAGGCUUUGAAGCGUGAUCGCUAGAUUGCGUGGAGCCAUCCUUGAAAUACCACCCUGGUAUGUUUGAGGUUCUAACCUAGGUCCGUUAUCCGGAUCGGGGACAGUGUCUGGUGGGUAGUUUGACUGGGGCGGUCUCCUCCCAAAGAGUAACGGAGGAGCACGAAGGUACCCUCAGCAUGGUCGGAAAUCAUGCUAUGAGUGCAAUGGCAUAAGGGUGCUUGACUGCGAGACUGACAAGUCGAGCAGGUACGAAAGUAGGUCAUAGUGAUCCGGUGGUUCUGUAUGGAAGGGCCAUCGCUCAACGGAUAAAAGGUACUCCGGGGAUAACAGGCUGAUACCGCCCAAGAGUUCACAUCGACGGCGGUGUUUGGCACCUCGAUGUCGGCUCAUCACAUCCUGGGGCUGAAGCCGGUCCCAAGGGUAUGGCUGUUCGCCAUUUAAAGUGGUACGCGAGCUGGGUUUAGAACGUCGUGAGACAGUUCGGUCCCUAUCUGGUGUGGGCGUUGGAGAUUUGAGGAGAGCUGCUUCUAGUACGAGAGGACCGAAGUGGACAGACCUCUGGUGUUCGGGUUGUCAUGCCAAUGGCAUUGCCCGGUAGCUAUGUUUGGACAGGAUAACCGCUGAAAGCAUCUAAGCGGGAAGCCCCCUCCAAGAUUAGAUCUCCCUGGGACUUUAAGUCCCCUUAAGGGUCGUUCAAGACUAGGACGUUGAUAGGCUGGAUGUGUAAGCGCUGUAAAGCGUUGAGCUAACCAGUACUAAUUACCCGUGAGGCUUGACCAU
rnacentral:rRNA from 1 species